GCCCAUUUGGCUCAGUAGAUAGAGCAUCCGCCUGCAGACCGAAGGGUCAUGGGUUCGAUUCCGGUCAAGGGCA
rnacentral:tRNA from 1 species